CGCGUAGGUGGUUGAUUAAGUCGGAUGUGAAAUUCCCGGGCUUAACCUGGGUCGGUCAUUCGAUACUGGUCAACUAGAGUAUGGUAGAGGGUAGUGGAAUUCCUAGUGUAGCGGUGAAAUGCGUAGAUAUUAGGAGGAACACCAGUGGCGAAGGCGACUGCCUGGACUGAUACUGACACUGAGGUGCGAAAGCGUGGGUAGCGAACA
rnacentral:rRNA from 1 species